AUUGAACGCUGGCGGCAUGCCUUACACAUGCAAGUCGAACGGUAACAGGUCUUCGGAUGCUGACGAGUGGCGAACGGGUGAGUAAUACAUCGGAACGUGCCCGAUCGUGGGGGAUAACGAAGCGAAAGCUUUGCUAAUACCGCAUAAGAUCUACGGAUGAAAGCAGGGGACCGCAAGGCCUUGCGCGAACGGAGCGGCCGAUGGCAGAUUAGGUAGUUGGUGGGAUAAAAGCUUACCAAGCCGACGAUCUGUAGCUGGUCUGAGAGGACGACCAGCCACACUGGGACUGAGACACGGCCCAGACUCCUACGGGAGGCAGCAGUGGGGAAUUUUGGACAAUGGGCGCAAGCCUGAUCCAGCCAUGCCGCGUGCAGGAUGAAGGCCUUCGGGUUGUAAACUGCUUUUGUACGGAACGAAAAGACUCUGGUUAAUACCUGGGGUCCAUGACGGUACCGUAAGAAUAAGCACCGGCUAACUACGUGCCAGCCGCCGCCGUAAUAC
rnacentral:rRNA from 1 species